GGAUACGAUCAUACCAGCACUAAAGCACCGGAUCCCAUCAGAACUCUGAAGUUAAGCGUGCUUGGGCGAGAGUAGUACUAGGAUAGGUGACCUCCUGGGAAGUCUUCGUGUUGCAUCCC
rnacentral:rRNA from 2 species